UAUAUAUAUACUGUUAUGGUGCGUUAUUUAUGCGUCAAAUAUAUUUUCCAAUUAGGUAUAUUUUCAACCUUUAGGCUUCGGGUUCAAAUUAUAUUAACGCUACCGUAACACAAAUACCAUGAAACCUUAUACCUUUUAUAUAUUUUAUUUACUUUCAACAAUAUGAAUUAGCGUCUCUAUAAUGUUAUAAUAAUAUAGUAAUCUUAAUAUAUCAACUUAUCUCUCUAUUUGUUUGAGCUGAGCACAACUUUGAAUCUUUACUCUUUAUACUUUGUACUUUGUAUUCCGUCUUCUUUAAUAAUAAUUAUUCCACAAUAUUCCAUUGUUCUUCAGUUUACUUGACGAGGCUUAAUUAUCUAGCCUUUUAAUUAUAUACUUCAGCCUUUGUUGGCUUAUGAAGUAUUUAGCCUAAAUGGCUCUUCUCACUUCACUCUCCGCUCUCGACUCUCGGGUUGUGCUCCGCUUUUAUAAUAAAUUUUAGAGGAAGAAAUCUGUAACUAUGACUAAUUUCCUCUACGCAAUAUGUUUGUCAAAGCAAGUUCUAGCAGUGUUUAUCAACCACAAAACUAUGUCCUG